CCUACGGGAGGCAGCAGUCGAGAAUCAUUCACAAUGGGGGAAACCCUGAUGGUGCGACGCCGCGUGGGGGAAUGAAGGUCUUCGGAUUGUAAACCCCUGUCAUGUGGGAGCAAAUUAAAAAGAUAGUACCCCAAUAUGAAGAGACGGCUAACUCUGUGCCAGCAGCCUCGUUAAAACAGAGGUCUCAGGCGGUGUUCGGAAUCACUGGGCGUAAAGCGUGCGUAGGCUGUGUAGUAAGUCGUGUGUGAAAGGCGCGGGCUCAACCCGCGGACGGCACAUGAUACUGCGAGACUAGAGUAAGGGAGGGGGAACCGGAAUGCUCGGUGUAGCAGUGAAAUGCGUAGAUAUCGAGAGGAACACUCGUGGCGAAGGCGGGUUCCUGGACAGUAACUGACGCUGAGGCACGAAGGCCAGGGGAGCGAAAGGGAUUAGAUACCCGAGUAGUC
rnacentral:rRNA from 1 species